rnacentral:RNase_P_RNA from 1 species
ACAGCGGAUCGGGCGAUCGCCACGCCGAGAGAUCGGCGUGGAGGAAAGUCCGGGCUCCCCAUAGCGGCGUAGCGGGUAACCCCCGCCCAUCGUGAGAUGAGGAUCAGAGCAACAGAGACGAGUCUGCUUCGCCCUUCAACUUGUAGGGUGAGUUAGGGCUUCCGAGGACCAAGGUCUGCUGGCGAGAAGCGGGUCUGCUUGCGAGUAAGCAGAGCUUAGCACCUCAGAAGCCUUACCUCUAUUUCUUGUUGGAGGGCGAAGCAGGGUGAAACGGGCAAUCUCUACGCGGAGCAAGACCAAAUAGGGGGGGAAUAUACGGCUAGUCCGUAUGAACGGGACUGCUAGUCCCGUCACUACUUCCGGGUAGGUCGCUUGAAUCCACCAGUAAUGAUGGAUCUAGAUGGAUGAUCGCCGAGAAUAUUUAUUAUUCUCACAGAACCCGGCUUAUAGAUCCGCUUUCAAU